CUCCGAGCCAGGUGCGGGAUGUAAUCUCGUGGUGCGCCGUUUUUUAAGCCCGUCGGAAAAGCGCAGUAUUCGGGUGGGAGUGACCCGAUUUUCCAGGUGCCGUCUGUCACCCCUUUCUUUGACUUGGAAAGGGAACUCCCUGACCCCUCGCGCUUCCCAGGUGAGGCAAUGCCUCGCCCUGCUUCGGCUCGUCCACGAUGCGCGCACCCACUGGCCUGCGCCCACUGUCUGGCACUCCCUAGUGAGAGAAACCCGGUACCUCAGAUGGAAAUGCAGAAAUCACCCGUCUUCUGCGUCGCUCACGCUGGGAGCUGUAGACCGGAGCUGUUCCUAUUCGGCCAUCUUGGCUCUCCCUUAGUCUAGAUUGCAGCUAAUCUUCCCCUUACAUGACACCUACAAGUUAAACAAACUGCAACUAGGAAGAUCGUGAUCAUUUGACUAGGACCUGGAUUGUUUGAGAGAGGCAGUCUAAAAGUAAGUUUUUACUAAUUAUUUUUGAACCUUGUAAUGGCAUUUUAAGCAACUGCUUUCACCUACAAUAAUAGUUACUUAUUUUACUUUUCCUGAAUAAGCCAGGCUCUUUCCUAAGUUUAUUAAAUGUAUUGUCUACUCUACCCCUUAUACCACAGACUCACAAUGUAGAUACUAUCAUGAUUAUAAUAAUCAUACUAUUAAUAAAAAUUAAUAUUACUUUAUUUGUAUUAUGGCUACUAUUGUUCUAUUGACAAAAAGAGAAGAGAGGUUAAGUAACGCGCAUAGAGAGAUAAGUACCAGGUCCCCAAAUAAACCUCAACCAUGUGGUUAAAGCCUAUUAAUAGCCUGACCACAAGCCCUCUGAGGUGGGAGCCUGGACACUUAAUAUCCUAUUAAUCCCUACUGUGCUGUGGGCUAGAGCCUAUGUGUCCCUUCAAGGAGCACAGGGAUGUUAAGUGUGGGUCUGUAGCUCUGGGGAGCUGUUUUCCUUUUAGGAAUACUCCUUGCUAGUUUUCAAAUAAUUCUUUAGCACUGAAGUUGGGACCCCUGAGACAUUUUUUUAUGUUCUAAAGACCACUCUGUUAGUUAAGUAAACCUGACUACAACCUUGAACAAAUUUAUAAUCUAUUGAAAUGUUACAGUAAAAGAAAUGCGAAGGUAAAGCAAAAAUUCUAAUUAUUUCAAAGGUAAUUGCAAACUAUCUAGCUGCCCUGAGAGUCUCCCCAAAGUCCCGGCAUUGCUUGGCACUACCACACCCUGUUUUCUGGAGGAUUUUUAGUUCAAACACGUACCUAAAUUUGACCAGAUAUCUAAAUUCCCAUUUGGAGACACAUCAUGGCAUGUAGGAUACUUUCCUACUUUUUCGCUAAAAAAGGUUUUCGAUCGAAAGUUGAAUGCUGUGGAUGUUGAAGUCCCAUGCGUCUGAGGUCCCAAGUCUCAGAAGCCUUUCCUCAUGCUGUUUCCAUACGUGUUUUCAGUUCUUGGAAUGAAAUUCUCAGAUUAGAACGCAUCAGACCUCUCUUAGUUCUCAUGGAGUAUGUAGAGGCCAUGAUGAACUGAAGAUUUCUCUCUGGUGUGGAUAUGUUUUCUCUUUUACCUCUGAACUUCUACAUCAAGACUUCGUGUGAAUGAGCUCUGCUUUUGAGGAUUCAUGACUCUUUUCCUCCAUGAUUUGAAAAUGUAUAUUCAAAAGAUUAAAAGAUGGAGCUGGCCGAGUGAGGUGGCUCAUGCCUGUAAUCCCAGCACUGUGGGAGGCCGAAGCAGGUGGAUCACUUGAGGUCAGCAGUUCAAGACCACCCUGGCCAACAUGGUGAAACCCUGCCUCUACUAAAAAUACAGAAAUUAGCCAAGUGCAAUGGCAGGCACCUGUAAUCCCAGCUACUCGGGAAGCUGAGGAUGGAGAAUCACUUGAACCCUGGAGGCAGAGGUUGCAGUGAACUGAGAUCACACCACAGCACUCCAGUCUGGGUGACUCAGUCUUGAAAAAUGAAAUGAAAUAAAAUAAAAUAAAAGAUAGAGCUGGAGUUUUGCUGGUUACUAUUAUUUAAUCAGAGGACAUAUCACCCUCCUCACAAAGGUGAGAAUCACACAGUCCCAGGAGGUUGUUUGGGCACCAGCUACAGGCCCACAGUCACCGUCAGCAAAAUCAAAUGUGUGUGUUACACACAGACGUCUCAUCUCCAUGGGCUUAUAGACACCAGGCUAGGCAACUAAAAGGGAAAAGUAUUUUUUAUUUUUAUUUUGUUUCUUCCAAGUUAAAGCAUGCUUUUCCUGUUUAUAAAACUUCUGUUUUUGGAAACACUUCUCACUGUACUUUACCAUGAGCAAGGUAAGAUAAGUUUUAUAAGUAGGAAAGCAUGCUUUUAUUUUUGUUUUUAUUUUAUACAAGUAAAGAAGAAAAUAAAAGCAAAACAAAAAUUUAUCUCUCUCAAGUGUCUACUCUCAAUGUUUUGUGCUUGCCACACCCCAUAGUCUAUACACAUACAUACUUACAAAGAGGAUUGUUCACCUGUGGGCUUGUUUAACAUACAUUUAUUUUAUAAUGUAUCAUAUAUAUCUUUUCAUAAUUUUUAAAAAAUUAUCUCUUCACUAUAAUGACUACAUAUGUUUGCAUUCUGGGGUGUUAAUUUAAUUUAAUUAGCAAAUCAUUUAUCAAUGCAUAUUUACUGUGACUAUGAUUGUUUAUAUUUUAACUAAUGUUGUGAUGACAUUCUUGUGUAUAUUUUGUUGCAAUACAUUUCCCAAAGGACAAUUUUUCAGCCUUAGGUUUUUCACAUUUCAUAUCUCUGAGACUGUGCUCCAUAAAGCUAUAUGGAUUUGGAUCCCCGUUAGAGACGUGUCUACACUCAUUUCUGAUAAAUGCACACAGGUAUCUCCAGGACUUAUGCCCUGCCCAGAAUACACUGGUUUUCUAUAAAUACUGUUGAAUGAAUAAAUGUAUCUUUAACAUUACCAUGGUGUUUUUUAACCUCUGUCAACAUGAGAAGCAAAACCUACCUCCUUGUUUUAAUUUACAUUUGUUUAAUUGCCUGUGAGGCCCAACAUCUUUUCAUAAAUGCCUGGCUAAUUUGUGUAUUUAUUUUUCCUCUUGUGAACUGCCUACUCAUUUUCUUUUGAUGUUAUUGAUGUGUAGGAUUCUCCUUGUUGACUUGUAAGAAUAAUUUAGAAACUAGUGAGUAAAUCUUUGUUUUGUGUGUCAAUUUUUUUUCAAUUAUUUGCUUGUCUUUUAUUGUUUGGUUGCUUUUACCUUAGGUAAAAAGGUAAGUGUUAUGUCUUUCUCCAGGUUUAAUUUAUUUAUUUUUUUGGAGGAGGGAUAUUCUGGGUCUUUACUACAUAACCCACCUCUACUCCAAAAGCAUAAUUUUUCACUAUUUUUAUAAACAUUAAUAUAUGUCCCAAACAUAAUUUUUGUCCUCAUUUUUUUAGAACACAGAACAACACACAGUUUUAGAACAUAAAGCAUAAAAUUUUUGAGUGUAUUAGUCUGUUCUCAUGCUGCUUAUAAAGACAUACCCAAGACUGGGUAAUUUAUAAAGAAAAGAGGUUUAAUGGACUCACAGUUCCACAUGGCUGGGGGAGCCUCACAAUCAUGGCAGAAGACGAAUGCGGAGCAGAGUCACAUCUUACAUGGCUGCAGGCAAUAGAGAUUGUGUAGGGGAACUGCCCUUUAUAAAACCAUCAGAUCUCGUGAGACUUAUUCACUAUCAAGAGAACAGCAGGGAAAAGACCUGCCCCAUGAUUCAAUUACCUCCCACUGGGUCCCUCCCACAACAUGUGGGGAUUAUGGGAGCUACAAUUCAAGAUGAAGUUUUGGGGGGGACACAGCCAGACCACAUCAAAGGGUCUUCAUUUGAAUUGUUUUCCACAUGAGGAUGAGAAGAUUUCUAUUUUUUUAAUUUAAAUACUAGUCAGCUGAGUAUUUUUUACUCAGUAUCAUUUACUGAAAACCUAACUUUUCCCCAGAGUUGAAAGGACAUCUCUGUUAAAUAUGAGAUUUGCAUAUAAAACUGGAUAAAGCUUAAACUCUGAAUUCUCUUCUUCUUAUCCCCCCAUCUAUUGCUAGGCCUGUAACAUACCCUACCAUUUGAAUUAUUUACCUUUCAAGUGCAUUUUAUGUUUUCUUAAUUUAUAUGGUCCUCUUUAUGCUUCCUUGCAUAAUUCCCACUCCCAUUUUUGUAUAUUUAUUUUCUGGAUAAGCUUUAGAAUAAUUGCUGUUGUGUUUUAAAAUAUUGGUGGAACUUUAUUAAGAUGCUAUUGAAUAUAUGAAUUAAAUUGGGAAGACUUGUCAUCUUAAUGAAAUAGAAUCUUCCCAUCUAAGAAGCAGGUAUGAUUUUCAAUAUUUCAUCAUAUGUUUAUACAUACAACAUGGCUUUUAAAUUUCAUUUCAGGAAAGUAUAGAAAUAUGGGCUGACUUGCUAUCAUUUUUUUUUUUUUUGAGAUGGAGUUUCAUUCUUGUUGCCCAAGCUGGAGUGUAAUGGCGUGAUCUUGGCUCACUGCAACCUCGGCCUCCCAGGUUCAAGCAAUUCUCCUGCUUCAGCCUUCUGAGUAGCUAGGAUUACAGGCAUGCGCCACCACAGAUGACUAAUUUUGUAUUUUUAGUAGAGACAGGGUUUCUCCAUGUUGGUCAGGCUGGUCUCGAACUCCCAACCUCAGGUGAUCCACCCGCCUUGGCCUCCCAAAAUGCUGGGAUUAUAGCCAUGAGCCACCGCGCCCGGCCCAAGAGUUGCUAUCUUAAUGAAAUAUAACCUUCCCAUCUAAGAAGCAGAGUUUUGCUCGGUCACUCACGGCAACCUCCGCCUCCUGGGUUCAAGCAGUUCUCCUGCCUCAGUCUCCCGAGUAGCUGGGACUCUACAGGCAUCCCCCAUCAGGUAUGGCUAGUUUUUUCUUUUUUUGUAUUUUUAGUAGAGAUAGGGCUCUGUCAUGUUGACCAAGCUGUUCUUGAACUCUUGAUUUCAGUUGAUCUGUCUGCCUUAGCCUCCCAAAGUGCUGGGAUUAUGAGUGUAAGCCACCAUGCUCAGCCCUCAUAUAUGAAGCUUUGAGUGCUAUGUAUAGGGAUUCAGACUUUAUAGGCUGCCACUUUCAUGAUAGAUUUACAUUGCACCCUACUGUUAAUCUCUACAUUUUUAAUUUUAAAUUCUUAAGGAUCAUCUUGUCUUAUCUUCAUUCUAGUUAGUUUUUUUUUAAAAUAAAAACUAACAAAUAAAAAACAAACAAAUAAAAAACAGGCUAGACAAGUUAAAUGAUCUGCUUUAGCCCGAAUACUGGCAUAGAAGUAACCAGAAAUGCUCUUACUCCUAAUACAUACAUACAUAUGUCCAUAUACAUAUGUUUCUUAUUAUCCAUAUAAGUGCAUUUUGAUUUUGGACAUAAAACAAAGGACUACAUGAACGAAUAUAUUUGUAUUAUUAUAUAAGCAAUAUGAGCUUACUGAAGAAUAUCUAAAAAUAUUGAAACAGUUUAACAAAAUAAUAUUCAUAAUUCUAUUACCUAGCAGUAACUCCUGUAAAUAUUUUAGGAUAUUUCAUGCUUGUUCUUUUAUUAUCAAUAUAUUUUCCUAUUUGAUAUUUUUGCAACUUGAGUGCAAAAUUUUCACUUAAUAUUAUAAUUAUUAUUUCCCAGUUUAUUAACUAUUAUUUUAAACAUACUUUUAUGUUUGUGUACUCUUCUAUCACAUGUGGUUAUUUUCAUUAACAAACCAUCUAUAAUUUUAGAUGUCUAUCAGCACUAACAUGGGUUAUUGUUGCUGUUAUAUUUAAUAUAAUUUCCUCAGGAUCAAUUUAUAUAUUGUAAGCACUAUGUCAAAUUCCCAAAUAUCUUGAAUUUCUUUGUGUGAGUUGAUUUUUCAAAUGAUUGUACCGGUUUACAAAAGCAGAGUUUAAGAGGAUUCAUCCCAUAUCAUAAAUAAAUAGUGGUUUCAUGAUAUGUUCUAUAAAUGUAUUUUGGGAAAGUUUAAAGUCGUUUAACUAUGGUCAUAUCCUACAUCCUAGAUGUUGUUCUGUUGGGUUUCAUUUAACCAGUCUCAACAAAUGAUACAGAAUAUUUCCUAAAGAACUUAUAAUCCAAUAAAUGACUUUUUGAUGCCUCAUGGAGAAAAUUGGCUUUGAGACCACACUUCUUCCCACUUCUUCAAUAUAAAAGAAAAACAAGUUCUUAUUAACACAAUUUUGGACACUCAAGCACAUUCUAUGGUUCUGUAUUGGUGAUGAAAACUGCCUAUGAGCGACUACCAACCUCUUUUAUGCUGCCUAUUUUUGGAGAUGUCCAAAUUUAAGAUUAAGGAUUCUGGAAAUUUGUUUCACAUAUUCUCUUUCUCUUUCUCUCAAGGUUAGGGUACCCAGUGUCUUCCAAACUAAAGUAUUGUAAUAUUACCCUGCCACCUAGGGGUAUUGCCAAAGAAAUUUAUGCAUGUAUAUAGACAUUUAGUGUAUUGGUCAAAAUGUGACAAUUAUGUUAUUAAAGUAUGUAAUUAACAGUCACAAUUGUGUUUUUGUAUUUUGUUUUCUCUUUCAUAAUAGUCUUUGUUCUUGAAACCAAAUGAGAAUGGU
rnacentral:lncRNA from 10 species